GACGAACGCUGGCGGCGUGCUUAACACAUGCAAGUCGAACGGAAAGGCCCUGCUUUUGUGGGGUGCUCGAGUGGCGAACGGGUGAGUAACCCGUGAGUAACCUGCCCUUGCCUUUGGGAUAACUUCAGGCAACUGGGGCUAAUACCGGAUAGGAGCUCUCGCUGCAUGGUGGGGGUUGGAAAGUUUCGGCGGUUGGGGAUGGACUCGCGGCUUAUCAGCUUGUUGGUGGGGUAGUGGCUUACCAAGGCUUUGACGGGUAGCCGGCCUGAGAGGGUGACCGGCCACAUUGGGACUGAGAUGCGGCCCAGACUCCUACGGGAGGCAGCAGUGGAGAAUAGUGCACUAUGGGCGGAAGCCUAAUGCAGCAACGCCGCGUGCGGGAUGACGGCCUUCGGGUUGUAAACCGCAGUCGCCUGUGACGAAGCGUGAGUGACGGUAAUGGGUAAAGAAGCACCGGCUAACUACGUG
rnacentral:rRNA from 1 species